CCUACGGGUGGCAGCAGUGAGGAAUAUUGGUCAAUGGACGAGAGUCUGAACCAGCCAAGUAGCGUGAAGGAUGACUGCCCUAUGGGUUGUAAACUUCUUUUAUAUGGGAAUAAAACGUUCCACGUGUGGGAUUUUGUAUGUACCAUAUGAGUAAGGAUCGGCUAACUCCGUGCCAGCAGCCGCGGUAAUACGGAGGAUCCGAGCGUUAUCCGGAUUUAUUGGGUGUAAAGGGAGCGUAGGUGGAUUGUUAAGUGAGUUGUGAAAGUUUGCGGCUCAACCGUAAAAUUGCAGUUGAAACUGGCAGUCUUGAGUACAGUAGAGGUGGGCGGAAUUCGUGGUGUAGCGGUGAAAUGCUUAGAUAUCACGAAGAACUCCGAUUGCGAAGGCAGUUCACUGGACUGCAACUGACACUGAGGCUCGAAAGUGUGGGUAUCAAACAGGAUUAGAUACCCGAGUAGUC
rnacentral:rRNA from 1 species